UCUACGGGAGGCUGCAGUGAGGGAUAUUGGUCAAUGGGCGAGAGCCUGAACCAGCAACGCCGCGUGAGGGAAGACGGCUUUCGGAUUGUUAACCUCUGUUCUCUGUGAAGUUGAUGACGGUAGCAGAGGAGGAUUCUCCGGCUAACUAGGUGCCAGCAGCCGAGGUAAUACGUCGGGAGCAAGCGUUAUCCGGAUUUACUGGGUGUAAAGGGUGCGUAGGCGGGUUUGUAAGUCAGAAGUGAAAUCCAUGGGCUUAACCCAUGAACUGCUAUUGAAACUGCAAAGCUUGAGUGGAGUAGAGGUAGGCGGAAUUCGCGGUGUAGCGGUGAAAUGCGUAGAGAUCGGGAGGAACACCGGUGGCGAAGGCAGCCUGCUGGGCUGUAACUGACGCUGAGGCACGAAAGCGUGGGUAGCAAACAGGAUUAGAUACCCUUGUAGUC
rnacentral:rRNA from 1 species